CCAAGGGUUCCUGUCCAACGUUAAUCGGGGCAGGGUGAGUCGACCCCUAAGGCGAGGCCGAAAGGCGUAGUCGAUGGGAAACAGGUUAAUAUUCCUGUACUUGGUGUUACUGCGAAGGGGGGACGGAGAAGGCUAUGUUGGCCGGGCGACGGUUGUCCCGGUUUAAGCGUGUAGGCUGGUUUUCCAGGCAAAUCCGGAAAAUCAAGGCUGAGGCGUGAUGACGAGGCACUACGGUGCUGAAGCAACAAAUGCCCUGCUUCCAGGAAAAGCCUCUAAGCAUCAGGUAACAUCAAAUCGUACCCCAAACCGACACAGGUGGUCAGGUAGAGAAUACCAAGGCGCUUGAGAGAACUCGGGUGAAGGAACUAGGCAAAAUGGUGCCGUAACUUCGGGAGAAGGCACGCUGAUAUGUAGGUGAAGUCCCUUGCGGAUGGAGCUGAAAUCAGUCGAAGAUACCAGCUGGCUGCAACUGUUUAUUAAAAACACAGCACUGUGCAAACACGAAAGUGGACGUAUACGGUGUGACGCCUGCCCGGUGCCGGAAGGUUAAUUGAUGGGGUCAGCGCAAGCGAAGCUCUUGAUCGAAGCCCCGGUAAACGGCGGCCGUAACUAUAACGGUCCUAAGGUAGCGAAAUUCCUUGUCGGGUAAGUUCCGACCUGCACGAAUGGCGUAAUGAUGGCCAGGCUGUCUCCACCCGAGACUCAGUGAAAUUGAACUCGCUGUGAAGAUGCAGUGUACCCGCGGCAAGACGGAAAGACCCCGUGAACCUUUACUAUAGCUUGACACUGAACAUUGAGCCUUGAUGUGUAGGAUAGGUGGGAGGCUUUGAAGUGUGGACGCCAGUCUGCAUGGAGCCGGCCUUGAAAUACCACCCUUUAAUGUUUGAUGUUCUAACGUGGACCCGUGAUCCGGGUUGCGGACAGUGUCUGGUGGGUAGUUUGACUGGGGCGGUCUCCUCCUAAAGAGUAACGGAGGAGCACGAAGGUUGGCUAAUCCUGGUCGGACAUCAGGAGGUUAGUGCAAUGGCAUAAGCCAGCUUGACUGCGAGCGUGACGGCGCGAGCAGGUGCGAAAGCAGGUCAUAGUGAUCCGGUGGUUCUGAAUGGAAGGGCCAUCGCUCAACGGAUAAAAGGUACUCCGGGGAUAACAGGCUGAUACCGCCCAAGAGUUCAUAUCGACGGCGGUGUUUGGCACCUCGAUGUCGGCUCAUCACAUCCUGGGGCUGAAGUAGGUCCCAAGGGUAUGGCUGUUCGCCAUUUAAAGUGGUACGCGAGCUGGGUUUAGAACGUCGUGAGACAGUUCGGUCCCUAUCUGCCGUGGGCGCUGGAGAACUGAGGGGGGCUGCUCCUAGUACGAGAGGACCGGAGUGGACGCAUCACUGGUGUUCGGGUUGUCAUGCCAAUGGCACUGCCCGGUAGCUAAAUGCGGAAGAGAUAAGUGCUGAAAGCAUCUAAGCACGAAACUUGCCCCGAGAUGAGUUCUCCCUGACCCUUUAAGGGUCCUGAAGGAACGUUGAAGACGACGACGUUGAUAGGCCGGGUGUGUAAGCGCAGCGAUGCGUUGAGCUAACCGGUACUAAUGAACCGUGAG
rnacentral:rRNA from 1 species